rnacentral:snRNA from 1 species
UUGCUUCCUGCUGAUAGUC